UUUCCUCCUUCCUCCUCCCUCCCCUCCCCGCCCUCGCCCUCACCCCUCCCCCCGCCGCGCCCCGGCCGCCAGAGGCUGAGUCACCGCUGCGGCGCUGCGGGCACCGCGGGCGAGCAGAUCUAGAAACUCAAGUGCUGUGGGACCCCGUGGGAAUUGGCAAACCUCUCUGAUCAAGUGACUGUUGCUGGGACACGUAGCCAGGCAGCGUCAUCAGCUUGCCGUGGCCUUUUCCCACCUCAUUCCUGUGACCAGCACUCCUCCUCUUUGUCAGAGAGAUGAGAAAACCGACACAGAGAGAGGCAAAGGAACUUUCUCAAAGGCAUAAUGAAU